rnacentral:rRNA from 1 species
GCCUCAUACAUGCAAGUCGAACGAGGUCUUCGGACCUAGUGGCGCACGGGUGAGUAACAUGUGGGAAUCUACCUGAAGGUUUGGAAUAACUGCGGGAAACUGUAGCUAAUACCGAAUGUGUCUGCAAAGAGAAAGAUUUAUCGCCUUCAGAUGAGCCCGCACUAGAUUAGCUAGUUGGUGAGGUAACUGCUCCACCAAGGCUACGAUCUAUAGCUGAUUUGAGAGGAUGAUCAGCCACACUGGGACUGAGACACGGCCCAGACUCCUACGGGAGGCAGCAGUAGGGAAUAUUGGACAAUGGGGGAAACCCUGAUCCAGCAAUGCCGCGUGAGUGAAGAAGGCCUUAGGGUUGUAAAACUCUUUCAUCAACGAUGAUAAUGACAUUAAUUGAAGAAGAAGCUCCGGCUAACUUCGUGCCAGCAGCCGCGGUAAUACGAAGGGGGCUAGCGUUGUUCGGAAUCACUGGGCGUAAAGCGUAUGUAGGCGGAUCAAAAAGUUAGAUGUGAAAUCCCUGGGCUCAACCCAGGAACUGCAUUUAAAACUAGUGAUCUAGAAUUUGGUAAGGGUUAGUAGAAUUUCCAGUGUAGAGGUGAAAUUCGUAGAUAUUGGAAAGAAUACCAGAAGCGAAGGCGACUAACUAGGCCAUUUUUGACGCUGAGAUACGAAAGCGUGGGUAGCAAACAGGAUUAGAUACCCUGGUAGUCCACGCAGUAAACGAUGAGUGCUAGUCGCUGGUACAAUAGUAUCAGUGUCGUAGCUAACGCAUUAAGCACUC